UGGGGAAUAUUGCGCAAUGGGGGGAACCCUGACGCAGCAACGCCGCGUUAAGGAAGAAGGCUUUCGGGUUGUAAACUUAUGUCUGGUGGGAAGAUAGUGACGGUACCACCGGAGGAAGUCACGGCUAACUACGUGCCAGCAGCCGCGGUAAUACGUAGGUGGCGAGCGUUGUCCGGAAUUACUGGGUGUAAAGGGCGCGUAGACGGGUAAGUAAGUUAGAUGUGAAAUACCGGGGCUUAACUCCGGGGCUGCAUUUAAAACUGCAUAUCUUGAGUGCAGGAGAGGGAAGCGGAAUUCCUAGUGUAGCGGUGAAAUGCGUAGAUAUUAGGAGGAACACCAGUGGCGAAGGCGGCUUUCUGGACUGUAACUGACGUUGAGGCGCGAAAGCGUGGGUGGCAAACAGGAUUAGAUACCCUGGUAGU
rnacentral:rRNA from 1 species